ACGGAAGGCAGCAGUGGGGAAUAUUGGACAAUGGGGGCAACCCUGAUCCAGCGACGCCGCGUGAGUGAAGAAGUAAUUCGUUAUGUAAAGCUCUAUCAGCAGGGACGAAAAUGACGGUACCUGUGAAGGAAGCUCCGGCUAACUACGUGCCAGCAGCCGCGGUAAUACGUAGGGAGCAAGCGUUAUCCGGAAUUACUGGGUGUAAAGGGAGUGUAGGCGGGACUGUAAGUCAGAUGUGAAAUAUGCCGGCUCAACUGGCAGACUGCAUUUGAAACUGCGGUUCUUGAGUGAAGUAGAGGUAAGCGGAAUUCCUAGUGUAGCGGUGAAAUGCGUAGAUAUUAGGAGGAACAUCAGUGGCGAAGGCGGCUUACUGGGCUUUAACUGACGCUGAGGCUCGAAAGCGUGGGGAGCAAACAGGAUUAGAUACCCUGGUA
rnacentral:rRNA from 1 species